rnacentral:lncRNA from 1 species
UUUUUACCCAAUUUCCUGGCCCUCUUCUAUUUUUUUAAUUUGUACACAUUGACCAUCAUAUCAAAUUAUUUUUUAGGUAGAGCCAGGGAAUAAAUAAAAAAUAACCAUCAAGCUUGGAUUAUCCUUAGUUUAUUUACUUGGUCGUGGCAGGAAGAAGACAGGACGCUCCUAUGGAUGUUGACGGAGUCAGUAAAGAAUGCUCUAAAACAUAAGCCAGUAUCCAGAACUGUACCUAAGUGUAGUCUAGACUCCAUUGUUAACUGGCCUCAAGAUCUUCAGUAUCACUGAACUCUGUAGAGCAUUAUUUUCCUCAACUUUAAUGUAGAGAUUAUAAUGCUGAUAUAAGAUAAAAUGAGAAAAGUCACCAGAAAGACUUCUGGUAAUUUUACACAACACUAUAUGAAUAUUUUGUUAAUAACUGAAUGCCAAAUGCGUUGUGCACAGAGGCAUAUUGUUAACAAAUUUAUACUUACUUAUUUUAAAUAUUUUCAUUAUUAACAACUUUAAAAACAAUUUAAAAUAAUAUAUGAAGGUAGAAACAGAGCAAGUUUCUGAAUUUUCUAAAAAUAUCAAUAUCCAGGAGUUCAUAAGACAAAUGUAAAGCAAUUAAGCUUCACGAUGGACUUAAAAUAGUAAAUAAAAAAAAAAAGAAGGAAUAAGAAAAUGUAAUUUUUCUUGAGUUGACUAUAAUAAAAUCUUUCAUAUUUCCUUCAUUUUAGAAAGCAAGAAUCACAAUUAUGCAAUUAUAUAAAUUGCUCAUAUAUACUAAUUUAAUGAGCCCUAAUUCAUAUUGUAAAUCAAUUAUAUGUUGAUUUACUUAUUCUAUUUGAAAAGACUUUAUUCAUUUCUUAACCUUUGGACAUAUGGAGUAUAGUUUUCUUCAUAAAAAGGACUACUGCUAGAUUGUAUGAUUCUAAUAAGAAAGCAAGCAAGCAGGAAACUAUCACAGAACAUUAUGCCCAACAGAUAGCAUAAAAGUAUCUGUAAGUAAUGAAAUAUGUUUUUAGCAUAUACAUCUAGAUUAUACAAUAAGUACUGUCUCCGAGAAAGAGUAACUAGGGAUAUACCAUGCUCCUAUACUGCUGUCAUUGAUGAAAAUUUAUAUGUAGUUCAUUUUUGGUAUUUGCCUUCAGCGAGAGUUUAAAAGCAAAAUAUGACCAUCAUUUUCACGUCAAACUCUUAUUUCCAUAUCAGCGACACAUAGUGUUCUUUCCCAUGGUCACUUAUUUAAUUAAAAUGGCUCUGAAUAAAAAAAAAAAAAAAAGGCUCUGAAUCAAUGUUCUUCAGUCGUUUACAAAUACCAAAUCCCUAGGGGAUCCCUGGGUGGCUCAGUGGUUUAGUGCCUGCCUUUGAUCCAGGGCGGAUCCUGGAAUCCCGGGAUCAAGUCCCACGUCAGGCUCCUGGCAUGGAGCCUGCUUCUCCCUCUUCCUGUGUCUCUGCCUCUCUCUCUCUCUCUCUCUCUAUCAUAAAUAAAUAAAUACACACUUGAUCUUAGCCAAAAGGCUGAGAAGCGAUUCAUAAAUAAAUAAAUAAGUAAAUAAAUCUUUAAAAAAAACAAACUCUUAAACAAAUACCAAAUCCCCUUUUAUAGUAUUAAGCUUUUGCACCAUUGAGGACAUGCAGAACUAGACUCUGGAAUAUAUUUCAUCCCAUGGCAGUCUUCCUAGGGAUGGCUAUCCCACAUGAGGCAUUACCCACCAGGAAGCAUGUGUGCUCCUCUGGUUGGUAAACAGCCACCUUGCCUUAAAUUCACUGUACAGCCACAUCCCAGCAGACUCUAAGCCAAGAGUGGAUGAUGGUCUAGUGAGACACCCCCCCCCCCAAAAAAAAGACCCAGAGACAGCAAUCAAGAUACAGGUUUAUUGGGGGGAACUACCUACAGGGAGUCCAGGAGCAGCCAACUGGACAAAGCAUCUGCUCCUGGGAUCUAUAUGCAGCAAACUUUUAUAGUGUAGCAACCCAGCCUAGCAACUAUCUGUAGCCCUUCCCUCCUUGCCUUGCCAGGGGUCCAAGGAGAUCAAGGCCUGCCAAGUGGACAUUCUUCAUUACAAGGGAAAUACUCUAGGUUUGCCACUCCCAAGCCCCUGACCUUGAAUGCUAAACACUUUCUUCUACACAGUCUGCUUAAUGGGAACAUAGAGGAAGGACAGGAUCUCUGCACUCCCAAGGUUGUAAUCACAGGGACAUUCAGAGUAUGUUGGUACAAAGCAGCCUUCAGCAUGUACCAUACAGUCACCCUGUAAAUAUACCAUGCAGAGUGUAUACACAAAACUAAUGUAAAACUUUGGCUAAGACAACAGGCAUUUUAUAUUUCUGACUCAAGAAUUCAAUCUACUUUAUGUUAUGGAAAAAUAUUAAAAUGUUAAAGUUGCAGGAGCCUGGUAUUACAAUAGACUAAUCUUCAACAGAAGCAAAGUGAAUUGAGAUGGUAGGAUGUAGUGUCCAUUCUCAAUCUCUGUUAAGCCAAGAGACUGCUGGCCUACCUAGAGGAUUUCAUUUUUUCCCUAAUUAUUCACUUUAGAAGGUGAUUGAGACUAGUGUUUGGGUGUUUAUUUAACUUUCUGUUCAGCCAGCUUCAGUUUAUGUGAAUAAGGUGAAGAUAAGGAAAAGGGAAGAUUGCUUCACCAACCUGGCAUAUAAAGUCGAGGUGAUUUAGAUUGUAUGAUGUUGAUGUGGGAUAGUUUGGAGUCUGGGUAUGCCCCGUCUAGUUGUAGGGAUGAGCUAGGGAUCCCAGGAACGAAAAAUUAUAAAAAUCUCUCUUGGCCCAAUUUUAAUAGGCAUUGCCACGGUUAUGGAAAGAGGAAGAAUCGGGCAGAGACUCUAGAAGAUAAGAUGAUAGGUUUUAUGAAACUCUUUGUGAGGUUUUUGCUGUCUGAGUCAAGCCUUGUCAGGGACCUUGACAGGCUCCCAUGGCACUGCAGAUGCCAGGUUAUCGGUAAAACUAAAAACCUAGGAGGAAUACUAAAAAAGUACCUGUGAGCCACACCAGCAUUCAACCUCUUGUAGGAAACACUGGUUUUUCCAGGGCCAUGGCUACUAGGUUGAUGGAUCCUGGUGUCCUGCUACCUGUGAUACAUCCUAUGGCCAAGCCAUUUGGGGUAUGUGCUUAUAGGUUUAUGUGUAUAUAGGCAAAGUUACUGUUCUCAUUUUAUCUCCUAUAAUACGCUCAGUGAACAUGAAAGUGACUUUUAAAAUGUGAGCCAAGAGUGUUAACUAAGUUUAUCAAGUGUUAGAUAGAGUGUUAAUUAAGUUUCUUUAUAUAAAGAAAGUCUGGAGACUUUCUUUCUGGAUUUGAAGGCCAUGUAACCCUCUAGGAGUAGAAGGUAGCCUCCAACUGACUGCCAGCAAGAAGCCAGGGGUCUCAAUCCUACAGAUAAUUGGGAAUAAAUUCUCUCAACAGCCAAGGUGAACUUGGAAGAGGUUCUUCCCAGUCCAGCUUCCAGAUGAGAAACCACCCUAGCCAACGCCUUCAUUAUAGCCUGGUAAGGCCCUAAGCCGGGUUCCAGCUAAGCUCUGCCUGGACUCUUGACCCAAGAAACCAGUAGAUAAUAAAUAUGUGUUGCUCUCAACUGGUAUGCUUGUGGUAAUUUCUUAUGCAGCAAUAGAAAACUAAUACAUUGUCCUUUCUUGGUUGUUUAUUUCCCUAAAGAUAAGUUGUACAGCUCAUUAUUAAAGAUUUAAUCUAUAAGUUCAUGGGAAACUUGAUAGAGUUUGGAACUGAACUGUCUGAUUAUGCAAUUAUACUGAUCAUAUCUUAAAAAUAAUUAGUAAUCUUUUGAAAUGUCUGAGAGCAAAAGAAACAUGAUUAAGAAAGCAAAAUGCCAUUUUCUACCUGGUGCCCAUCUUGAAACUCAGUUAGUGGUACUUUGACUAGGCAUGGUAUUAUUGAAACUUGAAAUGUCAUAGCCACAUUGGAAGAAAUGCAUCCAUGGGUCCUCAUUAGAACACACAGCUAUAUUAAACCUUGCUUUCUUCAAAAGCCAAGACCUACAUGAAUAGUUUUUAAAGGUUAAUUAAAAGCAGUGAGUAAUAAAAAUUUAUAAGCUUCUGCUUAUCAUUUUUUAAUGGUAUCAUUUUCGACCUUUUGAUUGUGAUCCCAUGGUGUGCCAUCCAGACCCCGGCUGUUUACUAUUCCCAUCAACGUCAAGAAAAACUCAACAGAUUGAAAUGUCCUUCCUUUUUCCAGGAAAGAUUUUUGCAAAAUUUUCUCUGGUGCACACAACUUUCUUGAGCUGUUGGUAGAUUUUCUUUUGUCAAUAGGAUGUUAUCCUCUUAAAGAUUCACAAUCUAUAUUAGCAUUUCAUAAACACCUAAAAGUUCCACAGCUAAGAAAAAUAAUUAGCUUUCUUCUUUAACCAACAUUUACUUCUAUUCAUUUGUCCUCAGAAGCUUUUUCUAUUCUCCAAAAAAAUUUCAAUGUAAAUAAUUCCUUCUGGAGAAAGAUUAUAUGAGAAGAAUGACCAUCA